AUACCAUGGUGAGGGUAUUUUUGUAAUAAUUUCUUGCAUAACUCCCAAGCCUCAUACAAUGAUUCAUCAUCAAGUUGUUGGAAUGUGGUGAUUUCAUUCCGAAGUUU
rfam:Gossypium hirsutum cultivar TM-1 chromosome 13, whole genome shotgun sequence